rnacentral:rRNA from 1 species
ACGCUCGACACCUACGGGAGGCAGCAGUGGGGAAUAUUGGGCAAUGGGCGCAAGCCUGACCCAGCAACGCCGCGUGAAGGAAGAAGGCUUUCGGGUUGUAAACUUCUUUUCUCAGGGACGAAGGAAGUGACGGUACCUGAGGAACAAGCCACGGCUAACUACGUGCCUGCAGCCGCGGUAAUCUGAGCGGGCUGGCAAGGC